GAGGUUCCGGUUCACGCCUUACCGGCGACCCGGCGACC
rfam:Mycobacterium sp. NE-TNMC-100812 PROKKA_contig000155, whole genome shotgun sequence.